ACAGUGCUUGUUCGGGGCGCUCCGCUGGCUUCUUGGACAAUUGCGCCAUGUGUGCUGCUCGGCUAGCGGCGGCGGCGGCCCAGUCGGUGUAUGCCUUCUCGGCGCGCCCGCUGGCCGGCGGGGAGCCUGUGAGCCUGGGCUCCCUGCGGGGCAAGGUACUACUUAUCGAGAACGUGGCGUCCCUCUGAGGCACCACGGUCCGGGACUACACCCAGAUGAACGAGCUGCAGCGGCGCCUCGGACCCCGGGGCCUGGUGGUGCUCGGCUUCCCGUGCAACCAGUUUGGGCAUCAGCUGCUGAAAUUCCUGUCCGCCCUUGGGAUUGCGCAUGGAAGGCAAAAUCCCGGUGACUCAUAGAAAAACUCCCUUGUUUGUGGUUAGAACGUUUCCCUCCUCCUCUUGACCCCGGGUCCUAGCUGCCCUUCUCUCCUGUAGGAGAACGCCAAGAACGAAGAGAUUCUGAAUUCCCUCAAGUACGUCCGGCCUGGUGGUGGGUUCGAGCCCAACUUCAUGCUCUUCGAGAAGUGCGAGGUGAACGGUGCGGGGGCGCACCCUCUCUUCGCCUUCCUGCGGGA
rnacentral:sRNA from 1 species